rnacentral:rRNA from 1 species
UCUUGGUCAUUUAGAGGAAGUAAAAGUCGUAACAAGGUUUCCGUAGGUGAACCUGCGGAAGGAUCAUUAAAGAAAUUUAAUAAUUUUGAAAAUGGAUUUUUUUGUUUUGGCAAGAGCAUGAGAGCUUUUACUGGGUAAGAAGACAAGAGAUGGAGAGUCCAGCCGGGCCUGCGCUUAAGUGCGCGGUCUUGCUAGGCUUGUAAGUUUCUUUCUUGCUAUUCCAAACGGUGAGAGAUUUCUGUGCUUUUGUUAUAGGACAAUUAAAACCGUUUCAAUACAACACACUGUGGAGUUUUCAUAUCUUUGCAACUUUUUCUUUGGGCAUUCGAGCAAUCGGGGCCCAGAGGUAACAAACACAAACAAUUUUAUCUAUUCAUUAAAUUUUUGUCAAAAACAAGAAUUUUCGUAACUGGAAAUUUUAAAAUAUUAAAAACUUUCAACAACGGAUCUCUUGGUUCUCGCAUCGAUGAAGAACGCAGCGAAAUGCGAUACGUAAUGUGAAUUGCAGAAUUCCGUGAAUCAUCGAAUCUUUGAACGCACAUUGCGCCCCUUGGUAUUCCAGGGGGCAUGCCUGUUUGAGCGUCAUUUCCUUCUCAAACAUUCUGUUUGGUAGUGAGUGAUACUCUUUGGAGUUAACUUGAAAUUGCUGGCCUUUUCAUUGGAUGUUUUUUUUCCAAAGAGAGGUUUCUCUGCGUGCUUGAGGUAUAAUGCAAGUACGGUCGUUUUAGGUUUUACCAACUGCGGCUAAUCUUUUUUUAUACUGAGCGUAUUGGAACGUUAUCGAUAAGAAGAGAGCGUCUAGGCGAACAAUGUUCUUAAAGUUUGACCUCAAAUCAGGUAGGAGUACCCGCUGAACUUAAGCAUAUCAAUAAGCGGAG